rnacentral:rRNA from 1 species
CGAGCCUGAUGCAGCCAUGCCGCGUGUAUGAAGAAGGCCUUCGGGUUGUAAAGUACUUUCAGUUGUGAGGAAGGGGGUAGCGUUAAUAGCGCUGUCUCUUGACGUUAGCAACAGAAGAAGCACCGGCUAACUCCGUGCCAGCAGCCGCGGUAAUACGGAGGGUGCGAGCGUUAAUCGGAAUUACUGGGCGUAAAGCGCAUGCAGGUGGUUCAUUAAGUCAGAUGUGAAAGCCCGGGGCUCAACCUCGGAACUGCAUUUGAAACUGGUGAACUAGAGUACUGUAGAGGGGGGUAGAAUUUCAGGUGUAGCGGUGAAAUGCGUAGAGAUCUGAAGGAAUACCAGUGGCGAAGGCGGCCCCCUGGACAGAUACUGACACUCAGAUGCGAAAGCGUGGGGAGCAAACAGGAUUAGAUACCCUGGUAGUCCACGCCGUAAACGAUGUCUACUUGGAGGUUGUGGCCUUGAGCCGUGGCUUUCGGAGCUAACGCGUUAAGUAGACCGCCUGGGGAGUACGGUCGCAAGAUUAAAACUCA